AGUGGCGGACGGGUGAGGAACACAUAGGAAUCUGCCUGACAGUGGGGGAUAGCCCAGGGAAACUUGGAUUAAUACCGCAUGAUCUCGCGAGAGCAAAGCAGGGGACCGCAAGGCCUUGCGCUGUUAGAGGAGCCUAUGUCUGAUUAGCUAGUUGGUGGGGUAAUGGCCUACCAAGGCGACGAUCAGUAACUGGUCUGAGAGGACGACCAGUCACACCGGAACUGGGACACGGUCCGGACUCCUACGGGAGGCAGCAGUGGGGAAUAUUGGACAAUGGGCGAAAGCCUGAUCCAGCAAUGCCGCGUGUGUGAAGAAGGCCUUCGGGUUGUAAAGCACUUUAGGCUGGAAAGAAAAAGUUCGACCUAAUACGUCGAGUCUUGACGGUACCAGCAGAAUAAGCACCGGCUAACUCUGUGCCAGCAGCCGCGGUAAUACAGAGGAUGCUAGCGUUAAUCGGAUUUACUGGGCGUAAAGCGUGUGUAGGUGGUUUAUUGCGUCGGUUGUGAAAUCCCCGGGCUCAACCUGGGAACUGCUUCCGAUACGGAUAGACUAGAGUACGGUAGAGGGUGGUGGAAUUUCCGGUGUAGCGGUGAAAUGCGUAGAUAUCGGAAGGAACAUCAAUGGCGAAGGCAGCCACCUGGGCCUGUACUGACACUGAGACACGAAAGCGUGGGGAUCAAACAGGAUUAGAUACCCUGGUAGUCCACGCCGUAAACGAUGACAACUUGACGUCG
rnacentral:rRNA from 1 species